AUGUUAUGUUAUGUUUUGUUAUAUAUGUUAUGUUAUGGUGUUGUGUUGUGCUGUGCUGUGUUGUGCUGUGUUGUGUUGUGUUGUGUUGUGUUAUGUUAUAUGUUGUCAUAUGUUGUGUUGCGUUGUGUUGUGUUGUUGUGUUGUUGUGUUGUGAUGUGCUGUGCUGUGUUGUUAUGUUAUAUGUUAUUUUAUGUUGUGUUGUGUUGUAUUGUGUGUUGUGUUGUUGUUAUGUUAUGUGUUAUGUUGUUAUAUGUUGUGUUGUGUUGUGUUGUUGUUAUGUUAUGUUAUAUUAUAUGUUGUGUUGGUAUGUUAUGUUACAGUAUGUUGUGUUGUGUUGUGUUGUGCUGUGUUGUGUUGUUGUUAUGUUAUGUGUUAUGUUGUUAUAUGUUGUGUUGUGUUAUGUUGUGUUGUGUUGUGUUGUGUUGUUUUGUGUUGUGUUGUGCUGUGUUGUGUUGUUGUUCUGUUUUGUGUUAUGUUAUGUUGUGUUGUGUUGUGUUGUGUUGUGUUGUGUUGUCUUGUUAUGUUAUGUUAUAUGUUGUGUUAUGUUAUGUUAUGUUAUGUUAUGUUAGGGUAUGUUAUGUUAUGUUACAGUAUGUUGUGGUGUGUUGUGUUGUGUUGUAUUGUGUUGUAUUGUGCUGUGUUGUGUUGUUGUUAUGUUAUGUGUUAUGUUAUGUUGUGUUGUGUUGUGUUGUGUUGUGUUGUGUUGUGUUGUAUUGUAUGUUGUUGUGUUGUUAUGUUAUGUUAUAUGUUAUGUUGUUAUGUUGUGCUGUCCUGUCCUGUGCUGUGUUGUGUUGUUGUUAUGUUAUGUUAUGUGCUAUGUUAUGUUGUGUUGUGUUAUGUUAUGUUAUGUUGUAUUGUAUGUUGUUGUGUUGUUAUGUUAUGUUAUAUGUUAUGUUAUGUUGUUAUGUUGUGCUGUCCUGUGCUGUGUGUUGUGAUGUUAUGUUAUGUUAUGUUAUGUUUUGUUAUAUAUGUUAUGUUGUUGUGCUGUGCUGUGCUGUGUUGUUGUGUUGUGUUGUGAUGUGUUGUGUUGUGUGUUGA
ensembl:lncRNA